rnacentral:rRNA from 1 species
AGAGUUUGAUCCUGGCUCAGAGCGAACGCUGGCGGCAGGCCUAAACAUGCAAGUCGAACGGAUCCUUCGGGAUUAGUGGCGGACGGGUGAGUAACACGUGGGAACGUGCCUUUGGUUCGGAACAACUCAGGGAAACUUGAGCUAAUACCGAAUGUGCCCUUCGGGGGAAAGAUUUAUCGCCAUUAGAGCGGCCCGCGUCUGAUUAGCUUGUUGGUGAGGUAAAGGCUCACCAAGGCGACGAUCAGUAGCUGGUCUGAGAGGAUGAUCAGCCACACUGGGACUGAGACACGGCCCAGACUCCUACGGGAGGCAGCAGUUAGGAAUCUUGCGCAAUGGGGGAAACCCUGACGCAGCCAUGCCGCGUGAAUGAUGAAGGUCUUAGGAUUGUAAAAUUCUUUCAGCGGGGACGAUAAUGACGGUACCCGCAGAAGAAGCCCCGGCUAACUUCGUG